rnacentral:rRNA from 1 species
GAUGAACGCUGGCGGCGUGCCUAAUACAUGCAAGUCGAGCGAAGCGGGGACGGGUGCGUAACACGUGGAUAACCUCCUAUACGACUGGGAUAACUUCGGGACACCGGCGCUAACCCGACUACUUAUAUAUGGAUCCGCGCUGCAUUAGCUAGUUGGUAAGGUAACGUCUUACCACGGCAACGAUGCAUAGCCGACCUGAGAGGGUGAGCGGCCACACUGGAACUGAGAAACGGUCCAGACUCCUACGGGAGGCAGAAGUAGGGAAUCUGCCGCAAUGGGCGAAAGCCUGACGGAGCAACGACGCGUGAGUGAUGAAGGUCUUCGGAUCGUAAAACUCGGUUAUUAGGGAAGCGGUACCUAAUCAGAAAGCCACGGCUAACUACGUGCCAGCCGCCGCGGUAAUUC